UACGUAGGGGGCAAGCGUUGUCCGGAUUUAUUGGGCGUAAAGGGCGCGUAGGCGGCGCGGGAAGUCAUCGGUGAAAGUUCAGGGCUCAACUCUGAAUCGGCCGUCGAUACUCCCGUGCUGGAGCACUGUAGAGGCUAAUGGAAUUCCGGGUGUAGCGGUGGAAUGCGUAGAGAUCUGGAGGAACACCAAAGGCGAAGGCAGUGUCCUGGGAGGCACCUGACGCUCAGGCGCGAAAGCCAGGGGA
rnacentral:rRNA from 1 species